CUGAUCUUUUAAGUAUUAGUGAUUUUAGUG
rnacentral:piRNA from 1 species